GACGAACGCUGGCGGCGUGCUUAACACAUGCAAGUCGAACGGUGAACCUCUUCGGAGGGGAUCAGUGGCGAACGGGUGAGUAACACGUGGGCAACCUGCCCCCGGCUCUGGGAUAACUCCAAGAAAUUGGGGCUAAUACCGGAUGUUCACCGCUUCCCGCAUGGGUGGUGGUGGAAAGGGUUUCCGGCUGGGGAUGGGCCCGCGGCCUAUCAGCUUGUUGGUGGGGUAGUGGCCUACCAAGGCGACGACGGGUAGCCGGCCUGAGAGGGUGACCGGCCACACUGGGACUGAGACACGGCCCAGACUCCUACGGGAGGCAGCAGUGGGGAAUAUUGCGCAAUGGGCGGAAGCCUGACGCAGCGACGCCGCGUGGGGGAUGACGGCCUUCGGGUUGUAAACCUCUUUCAGCAGGGACGAAGCGCAAGUGACGGUACCUGCAGAAGUAGCACCGGCCAACUACGUG
rnacentral:rRNA from 1 species